UUGUCUUUGAUUAGGUCCUUGUCUAUGUUCCUUGGAACAGGACGUCAUAGAGGGUGAGAAUCCCGUUUGGCGAGGAUACCUUUUCUUUGUAAGACUUUUUCGAAGAGUCGAGUUGUUUGGGAAUGCAGCUCAAAGUGGGUGGUAAAUUCCAUCUAAAGCUAAAUAUUGGCGAGAGACCGAUAGCGAACAAGUACAGUGAUGGAAAGAUGAAAAGAACUUUGAAAAGAGAGUGAAAAAGUACGUGAAAUUGUUGAAAGGGAAGGGCAUUUGAUCAGACAUGGUGUUUUUUGCAUGCACUCGCCUCUCGUGGGCUUGGGCCUCUCAAAAAUUUCACUGGGCCAACAUCAAUUCUGGCAGCAGGAUAAAUCAUUAAGAAUGUAGCUACUUCGGUAGUGUUAUAGCUUUUUGGAAUACUGUUAGCCGGGAUUGAGGACUGCGCUUCGGCAAGGAUGUUGGCAUAAUGGUUAAAUGCCGCCCGU
rnacentral:rRNA from 1 species